CCUACGGGUGGCAGCAGUGGGGAAUAUUGCACAAUGGGGGAAACCCUGAUGCAGCGACGCCGCGUGAGUGAAGAAGUAUUUCGGUACGUAAAGCUCUAUCAGCAGGGAAGAAAAUGACGGUACCUGACUAAGAAGCCCCGGCUAACUACGUGCCAGCAGCCGCGGUAAUACGUAGGAUGCGAGCGUUAUCCGGAUUUAUUGGGUUUAAGGGGUGCGCAGGCGGCCUGUUAAGUCAGCGGUAAAAGCCCGGGGCUCAACCCCGGCGAGCCGUGGAAACUGGCGGGCUGGAGUUGGAGAGAAGUACGCGGAAUGCGCGGUGGAGCGGGGAAAUGCUUAGAUAGCGCGCAGAACCCCGAUUGCGAAGGCAGCGUACCGGCUCCACACUGACGCUGAGGCACGAAAGCGUGGGUAUCGAACAGGAUUAGAUACCCCUGUAGUC
rnacentral:rRNA from 1 species